rnacentral:rRNA from 1 species
UACGUAGGGUGCAAGCGUUAAUCGGAAUUACUGAGCGUAAAACGUGCGCAGGCGGUUUUGCAAGACAGGUGUGAAAUCCCCGGGCUUAACCUGGGAACUGCACUUGUGACUGCAAGGCUGGAGUACGGUAGAGGGGGAUGGAAUUCCGCGUGUAGCAGUGAAAUGCGUAGAUAUGCGGAGGAACACCGAUGGCGAAGGCAAUCCCCUGGACCUGCACUGACGCUCAUGCACGAAAGCAUGGGGAGCAAACAGG